rnacentral:rRNA from 1 species
CCUACGGGUGGCAGCAGUAGGGAAUUUUCGGCAAUGGGGGGAACCCUGACCGAGCAACGCCGCGUGAACGAAGAAGUUAUUCGUAAUGUAAAGUUCUUUUAACAGGGAAGAAAGAGAAAUUUGACGGUACCUGAAGAAUAAGCUCCGGCUAACUACGUGCCAGCCGCGGUAAUAAGGAGGGGGGGUGCGUUAUCCGGAGUUAUUGGGCGAAAGGUGUGGGGAGAUGGCAUAGUAAGUCUUGUGUAAAAAUGCUGGGCUCAACCCAGUAGGGCAAAAGAUACUGCAAAACUAGAGUAUGACAGAGGCAAGUGGAACUAGAUGUGUAGCGGUAAAAUGCGUAAAUAUAUGUAAGAACACCAGUGGCGAAGGCGGCUUGCUGGGUCGAUACUGACAUUGAGGCACGAAAGCGUGGGGAGCGAACAGGAUUAGAUACCCCUGUAGUC